AGUGGUCUUACAAAAUAAAAACGAAGAACAUAGAAGUACAAGUGUGGUUAGUGGGUAGAUGAUCUGAGUCAGAGGAAAGGGUUGGUUAAGGAAAAGAAUGGGUAGAUGAUCUGUUUUCUUGUUCUUGGAUUGGUAGGCUGGUUGUUUAGGUUGCUGAUGCAAUAACUUCUUCAGAAUCCCCAGAUAUCUGAUUUAAGAACAUGGCUAAACGAACUCCACCUUGAGCAAUGCGUUUCAUGACAAUUGGCAUCCUUGAAUUGAAGUAAUCAUCUGCUAGAGUUGGGCCCUCAUUCACUCCUUUGUAACCCCAUUUGCAACCCAAGUUUAU
rnacentral:misc_RNA from 1 species